rnacentral:rRNA from 1 species
AGCCUGAUGGAGCACGCCGCGUGAGUGAGAAGGUCUUAGGAUUGUAAAGCUCUGUCCUUAGGGAAGAACCGUGGAUGCAGCAAAUGGCAUCCAUCUGACGGUACCUUUGGAGGAAGCACUGGCUAACU